CUUCAAGAUAGGGGUUGAGGGAGCACAAGAUUUGAGAGAAAUAAUUCAGGGAGAUAAACAGACACCCAGUCUGUGUGAACAUGCACCAGAGGCAUGCCAAGUUUAGUGGCUUGCCACUUCAAAUACCAGGGAGCUUGAUGGAAGCUACUGCCUGCAGCUGGCUAUAGUACAAAGGCUUGCCUAGGGGGACUGGAAAUCUGCCUGGAGCCAAGAGUGCUAACAGGGAAUUGCUCUGUCACGCAAGCUGGAGUGCAGUGGUGCCAUCUCGGCUCACUGUGACCUCUGCCUCCUGGGCUCAAGCCAUCCUCCCACCUCAGCCCUUCAAGUAGCUGGGAUUACAGGUUGUAAAAACCCCAUCAGGGCAGUGACUGAGUGUGUGUCACUGUGUGCAGCAUCCCCAGAACCUAAUACCAUGACUGCAUGGAACAAGCACCCGGAUAUAGGAAUGAAGGACGCUACUGGUGGCCCCGUCCAGUUCUGAGAAAAUGCUGCCACAAGCUACAAGAGAAAUCUGCUUCUCUGAAGCCUUUAAAGAUUUGGUUACUUUUUCAAAAUGAAUAUUCUUUAAUACACAAUUUCAAUAAUUUCUGAAAUGAGGAUAAUGGCUGGGUUUUUUUUUUUUUUUUUUUUUUUGAGAUGGAGUCUCGCUGUCACCCAGGCUGGAGUGCAGUGGUGCAAUCUCAGCUCACUGCAACCUCUGCCCCCCGGGUUCAAGCAAUUCUCGUGCCUCAGCCUCCUGAGUAGCUGGGAUUACAGGUGCCCGCCACCACGACUGGCUAAUUUUUUUAUUUUUAGUAGAGACGGAGUUUCACCAUCCAUGUUGGCCAGGGAGGUCUUGAACUCCUGACCUCAAGUGAUCCGCCUAUGGCUGGCUUUUUAUAAUAGUUAAGAAUACUGCUCCUGGAGUCAGAGGGUCUGGUUCUCAUCCUCUGAUUUUGAUCACAACUUGCUGCAUGAUGAUGAUCAAGUGUUUGAACUUCCCAGUGCAUCCAUUUCCUCCUGGGUAAAGUGGGGCUAAUACCGUUAAAGCAAUGAUGUAAAAAUUAAAUGAGCUAACACAAGUGAGCGUUCAGAAUUGCAUCUAGUGCAUGGGAAUCCCUCAUAAGUAUUAGCUAUUAUUAUCAGUGUGCUAUCAGCUUGGAACUCAUGUAGUUCUGCUACAGAUUUGUAUUGUUCCUGAAAACAGAAUAUGAGACCAAAUUGAGGCCAGGUGUAAAGGCAUCUGGACCUUAUAUCCCUGCUGUCUAGUUUCUUCAAGAGGCCAGAGAGAACCUCCCUCAACUCCAGCCUACCAAGUGUCAUUUAUUUUAAUGCAGUGUGCCCCCAGUCUUAGGAAAUGGAAUUCUUCAUCUUCCAAGGCCUCUGGCUGAGACUGGAGACUUGUGCCUGCUCCACUGCUUGGCUGGAUUAGAUGCCCUAGAAAGAUACUUUUAACUCAGAGAAACUGUGACUCCAUGAAAGGGUCAGAUCCCACCAAAAGUCAUCCCAGUUCUCCAUCAGUUUCUCUCUCCACUCCACCUCCCCCAGCCCAUCCUCCGUCUGGGCUCCAGGGCUCUUUCCUUCUGUGUUCCCACAGGAUGGUGCCUGCUUUUACCCACCCUCUAGACUUUGCCCCAGUCACCUCAAACAGCCGAGGGUCCAAAUUUAGUAAUAGAAAUUCACUUCUCUAACCACUUUACAAAAACAUUAACUCAUAACUCACGGAAACCCAAUGAAGUCGGUGCUGGUGGCACCUCCAUUUUACAGAUGAUGAAACCGAGGAGAGGAGGGAGGUUGAAUAACUUGGCCCAAGGUCACUUGCUGAAAAGUGGCAGAGCUAGGAUUCACUGCCUCUGGUUCACUGCCUUGAAAGGAAGGAAAGUCUCCCCACUCCCACCACUGGGGAACUCUUCUUUAACUUUCUCCACAGUAUCAUUGGUCCGAUAAAUGAGAGGCAAGGAGAGAAACAAAGAUGGAUGUAUGUAUAAACUUAGGCAAGCAUGGAGAGCCAUGGUGAUGUGGUUAAGUGUUAGUUCUUGAGCUGAAUUGCACUGGUUAGUGUCCUGGAUUUUGAAUGUACUAACCCUGG
rnacentral:lncRNA from 1 species